UGAUAAUCAAGUCUUAUAUUGCAAGCUUGCCUUUCAUCCCUCAGGAUUGCCAAGUAAGUUACAUCUUAUUAAUCAGAAAUAUAGCAUGAAUUAUUGGCUAAGUCCAGUGGUAAUUACUUACAGUCCUCUGCUCCUUGCUCCCACAUUCUGGCGUUAGUGGGGACCAUCCAUUUUUGAGCACAUUCUUUGCAAAGACUUUGUGUACAAAAUUACCCUCUGGCUUUUUUAAAAGGGGAAACAUCCAUAAAUAAAGGGGGGGAGAGAUAGAGGGGAGGUUGUUUCAUGUCACACUUUCAGUCUUCUUAGUGACCUUAUGCCACAAUAUGGUCAAUUAUUACAUACAGCUGCUCUGAUGGAACAAUUUCAAUUUAUCUCACCAACACAACACACACAGAGAGAGAAAGAGAGAGAUUAAGCUUUUAUAUGCACAGAUUUGGAACUAUGCUGUAAUAGACCAUCUAACAAAUCACAUCAGGGGAACUGAGGAUCCAAUUAAAUCUGAAUUGUUUUUUACUAUGUGGUGCUCUUUUCUUCCAUAUGCUGACAUUUAAAUGAAAGCUACUCUACCUUGAAAAUACAGAAAUCUAAUAUUAUAGUGAUUCAGUGUAGCUGCAACUGCAUUAAUCUGGUAUUAUUAUUAUUAUUAUUAGUGCUUUUUUUCUGGGGGGACGCAGGGGUGGGUACACAUACCCCUAAACAAUUUGUGAAGCUAACGGGAGAAGAAACUUUUUUUAAAAAAUAAAUAAAUAGUUUCUUCUCUAGCACAGUGAAUCAUCAGUUCCGUUGCUACCCCCAAUGGCGGCCUCAUUUUCUGUCACUGUUUUUCCUGAGUCUCAGACAGAAACGAAUGUUUAAUGUGUGAAGCAGUAUUUUUUUUUCUGGAUUUGAACUAUAAAAUGGCGAUUUUAUUGAGACAAAAUAAGAGUACCCCUAAACUUUUUUUGGGAAAAGCACAGAUUGAUGUUGUUGUUGUUGCUGCUGCUGCUGCUGCUGCUGUUAUUAUUAUCACUGUUAUGCCUUUAAAAGGAUUUAUAUUUAGCUCUCUUUCAUUGUAAUGGAUUUUUUGUAUGCUAGGAUACUGAGGAGGGCUGUAUAUUUUUUAUUCUUGCUUCACAGUUUUAAAAUGUUCUUAAUACUUUAUUUUAAAAAUAAAAUUUAAACCCUCAAUAAGUUCCCAAGAUUCUACAAACUUAAGAAGUGUUUGCUGGAUCAAGCCAAUGGCUCUAGUAUCCUGUUCUCACAGUGGCCAUCCAGAUGCUUGUGGGAAACCUGACAGGAGGACCUAAUUCUGCAAAGCACAAUCCCAAUUUUUGGAUUUUUGUUUUGUUUUGUUUUAAACCCCACUUCCAUAUCCAUUUAUACACAAUGGCAUAUUUAACUAGGUUCAUUUACUAGCAGAAGCCAGCACAAGUCCCACCAGUACAGUGGAACUUCCCCCUUUCCUCACCCCGUGCACCCUGCGCCCCCACAAAGUCUGCUCAGUAGGGUCAGGAUAACCCCUCAAACAGCACAUAGGAGGGGAAAUUAUUCCACCUUUCAGGCAGAAGUAAUUAUGCUGAUGGAAUGAUCUCCUGUGUGUGCCAUUGAGCUCCAUCCAGAACAUAUAUAUUUGACUCUAGAGCUUUAAUAACAUGUGCCAGAGCUUGCUUUCCCCUCCUCCCUCCCAUUCAUUUUUCUUUAUGUGUCGCACCUAGAAUUGCAGAUUCAUAGAACUGUAGAGUUGGAAGGAACCCAAGGGUUAUCUAGUCCAACCCCCUGCAAUGCAGGAAUCUCAGCUAAAGCAUCCAGGACAGAUGGCCAUCCAACCUCUGCUUAAAAACCUCCAAGGAAGGAGAGUCCACAACCUCCUGAGGGAGUCUGUUCCUCUGCUGACCAGCUCUUACUGUCAGAAGGUUUUUCUGAAUGUUCAGUCAGAAUCUCCUUUCUUGCAACUUGAAGCCAUUGCCUUGAGUCUUACUCCCAAGAGCAGGAGAAAACAACCAUGUUCCCUCCUCCAUAUGACAGCCCUUAAGAUAUUUGAAGAUGGCUAUCAUAUCGCACCCGCCCCGUGGAACGCCCUCCCAUCAGUUGUCAAGGAAAUAAACAACUAUCUGAAGACAUCUGAAGGCAGCCCUGUUUAGGGAAGUUUUUAACAAUUGAUGUUUAUUGUAUUUUUAAUAUGUUGUUGAAAGCCACC